rnacentral:lncRNA from 1 species
CAAAGCCCCUGCCGAGCCUCGAGGACUCAGCGACUUUGGGUGGCGGCACGUGUGUCGGGCCAUAAUAAUGGCGGCCACUUCAGUGUCACGUGAUAGAGCCGCUAGGGUGUGGAGGGUCCAGGAAGGCGGUCACGGACGCUGCCUCAGCUAGCUGCCUUCUCAGGUCACAGAGCCGUGCAGAUCCAGGUCCUGGGUGACCACUCUGUCCCGAAUGGGCAAGAGACAUACCUAGUCCUGACGACAAGGGACAACGGCCUUGACGGGCCUGGAAGGUGAGCGGAGUCCCUACAACGAGUGGAACAGUUAGCGGCACUUGCUCUAUGUUCUAUCGACCUUGCUGUCGGAAGAGAGAAAUGGCAGAGUGACAUCCCCCAUUUGGCUCGCUGGAAAUGCCCACCAUCUUUUGGGAAGAUUUACUGGCUGUUUAUAGAAUGCCUGCCUAUAUAAUAUGAAAAAGCUGCUCUCAACUUCUCCCACCCAAAACCUUUUAAAAGAAAACAUUUGCCGCAUCCAGCCCUUCUAGAGUAAAGAGGUUGCCGACGUAUGAAGUAGAGUUAGAAAAUCACACACCUUGCAAAUUCUCAUUAGUUUAAAAAGAAGUCAUAGAAAAUGUCUUCUGGAGUUGACUUUUUGAAAUGGAGUUAUUAGACCACUUCUGGAAGCAACACGUCCACGUUUGUUCAAUGGGCUAGAGGACAUGGAGCAGAAGACCUGAGAAGGAAAAGAAUGCCAGUAGAACAUAUGUCCGAAACUCUCCCCUUUCUGCCUGAAGUUAGAAGACUACAUGUUGAAAGUUUGCUUUGAGCUUGGUUCUUCUUGAACAUGCAGCUUCAAAUCAAUGUCUGUCUGCUCAUAAGUUCAACCAAACCAGGACUGCCACUGGCUGCUAAAGGGAAGAAAAGGCUCCAUAAAGAAUUCCAGUGUACCUCCUGCCCUGGCAGCCAUUCUGCUGUUUCUAUGGAAACAUUCACCAGAUAGCAGCAUGCUAUACUGUGCAAGUGAAGAAGAAGGCAUCUUCCUUUCAUCACCACAUCUAGAGUGUGACCACUUCACAGAAUGAAAGAAUGUGGUGAACACAGUUCUUUAUUCUGACAGAUAAAUCGUUCAAGAGAAAGGGACAGAUGCCAGUGACAUUUUCUUGGACUUCCCAGCCUCUAGAACCAUGAUCCAAAUAAACUUAUAUUGUUUAUAAAUUACCCAGUCUUGUGUAUUCUGUUAUAGCAACA